rnacentral:rRNA from 1 species
CUUCGGGAUAAGGUGUGCUCCGCGUAGGUGAAGGCGUACAGCCCUAGCCGAACGGAGUCUCAGUAAAGUGCGUCAACCGACUGUUUAACAAAAACACAGGUCUCCGCUAACAUUCAAAUGGAUGUAUGGGGGCUGACUCCUGCCCAGUGCCGGAAGGUUAAGGAGAUUCGUCAGCCGCAAGGCGAAGCGAUGAACCGAAGCCCCGGUGAACGGCGGCCGUAACUAUAACGGUCCUAAGGUAGCGAAAUUCCUUGUCGGGUAAGUUCCGACCUGCAUGAAAGGAGUAACGAGUUGACGGCUGUCUUAACGAAAAGCUCAGCGAAUUUGUAGUGGCGGUGAAGAUGCCGCCUACCCGCGGCAAGACGAAAAGACCCUGUGAACCUUUACUGUACCCUAACCUUGAUUUUCGGCACACUGUGCGCAGAAUAGGUGGGACGCUUUGAAACCUGGUCUUUGGAUCAGGUGGAGCGGCCGUUGAGAUACCACCCUCAGUGUACUGACAAUCUAACGCUCAUCCCUUAUCGGGAUGGCAGACAGGGUUAGGCGGGUAGUUUGACUGGGGCGGUCGCCUCCUAAAAUGUAACGGAGGCGCCCCAAGGUCCUCUCAGACCGUUUGGAAAUCGGUCGUUGAGUGCAAUGGCACAAGAGGGCUUGACUGCGAGACCUACAAGUCGAGCAGGUACGAAAGUAGGGCAUAGUGAUCCGGUGGUCCCGUAUGGAAGGGCCAUCGCUCAUCGGAUAAAAGGUACGCCGGGGAUAACAGGCUGAUACCACCCAAGCGUCCACAGCGACGGUGGUGUUUGGCACCUCGAUGUCGACUCAUCACAUCCUGGGGCUGGAGCAGGUCCCAAGGGUUCGGCUGUUCGCCGAUUAAAGUGGUACGUGAGUUGGGUUCAGAACGUCGUGAGACAGUUCGGUCCCUAUCUGCUGUGGGUGUUCGAGACUUGAGAGGAGCCGUCCUUAGUACGAGAGGACCGGGAUGGACGUACCUCUGGUGUACCGGUUGUGACGCCAGUCGCAGCGCCGGGUAGCUAUGUACUGGAGGGAUAAACGCUGAAAGCAUCUAAGCGUGAAACCCGCCUCGAAACUAGGUCUCGCUGAGAGUCGUGGUAGACCACCACGUUGAUAGGCCGCGUGUGUAAGUACAGUGAUGUACUAAGCUUAGCGGUACUAAUAGCUCGAUAGGCUUGAUUUC